UGCCUGCCCGGUGAUAAUAAAAAUUUAACGGCUGCGGUAUUUUGACCGUGCGAAGGUAGCAUAAUCAUUAGCCUGUUAAUUUCAGGCUGGAAUCAAUGGCAAGACGAAGAAAAUGCUGUCUCUUUGUAUUUAUACGAAGUUUUCUUUUUAGUGAAGAGACUAAAAUAGAUGAGCGGGACGAGAAGACCCUGUUGAGCUUUAAUUUCUCAGCAGAGAGAGUGUAUGCUGAAAAAUUUUGGUUGGGGCAACUGUUUUUUUAAUUAGACAUCGAAGAAAGAAAGAAAAGAAUUAAAUCUCUCACAGAAGACCCAAAUAAGAUUUUUUUGGAAGAAAGAAAAAGUUACCACAGGGAUAACAGCGUUAUUCCUUUUGAGAGUUCUUAUUAACAAAGGAGUUUACGACCUCGAUGUUGGAUCAGGUUUACCUGGAGGUGCAGUAGCUUCAUAAGGUUGGUUUGUUCAACCAUUAAAAACUU
rnacentral:rRNA from 1 species